UACAGAGGUGCCAAGCGUUAGGCGGAAUCACUGGGCUUAAAGCGCGUGUAGGUGGGUCGUUAAGUGUCCGCGUGAAAUCCCACGGCUCAACCGUGGAACUGCCGGGCAUACUGGCGAUCUUGAGGCAUUCAGGGGCGAGCGGAACAAGUGGUGGAGCGGUGAAAUGCGUAGAUAUCAGGAGGAAUACCCAUAGCGAAGGCAGCUCGCUGGGACGUUACUGACGCUGAGGCGCGAAAGCGUGGGGAGCGAACAGG
rnacentral:rRNA from 1 species